GGGCCUAUAGCUCAGCGGCAGAGCAUCCGGCUCAUAACCGGACGGUCCUUGGUUCGAUGCCAAGUGGGCCCA
rnacentral:tRNA from 2 species